GACGAACGCUGGCGGCGUGCUUAACACAUGCAAGUCGAACGGAAAGGCCCUGCGUUUGUGGGGUGCUCGAGUGGCGAACGGGUGAGUAACACGUGAGUAACCUGCCCUUGACUUUGGGAUAACUUCAGGAAACUGGGGCUAAUACCGGAUAGGAGCUCCUGCUGCAUUGUGGGGGUUGGAAAGUUUCGGCGGUUGGGGAUGGACGCGCGGCUUAUCAGCUUGUUGGUGGGGGAGUGGCUUACCAAGGCGUUGACGGGUAGCCGGCCUGAGAGGGUGAACGGCGACAUUGGGACUGAGAUACGGACCAGACUCGUACGGGAGGCAGCAGUGGGGAAUAUUGCACAAUGGGCGGAAGCCUGAUGCAGCAACGCCGCGUGCGGGAUGACGGCCUUCGGGUUGUAAACCGCUUUCGCCUGUGACGAAGCGUGAGUGACGGUAAUGGGUAAAGAAGCACCGGCUAACUACGUG
rnacentral:rRNA from 1 species